AUUGAACGCUGGCGGCAUGCUUUACACAUGCAAGUCGAACGGUAACAGGGUGCUUGCACCGCUGACGAGUGGCGAACGGGUGAGUAAUGCGUCGGAACGUGCCGAGUAGUGGGGGAUAACGCAGCGAAAGUUGUGCUAAUACCGCAUACGUACUGAGGUAGAAAGUGGGGGACCUUCGGGCCUCACGCUAUUCGAGCGGCCGACGUCUGAUUAGCUAGUAGGUGAGGUAAAGGCUCACCUAGGCGACGAUCAGUAGCGGGUCUGAGAGGAUGAUCCGCCACACUGGGACGGAGACACGGCCCAGACUCCUACGGGAGUCAGCAGUGGGGAAUUUUGGACAAUGGGCGAAAGCCUGAUCCAGCCAUGCCGCGUGUCUGAAGAAGGCCUUCGGGUUGUAAACCGCUUUUGUCAGGGAAGAAACGAGUUUCUCUAAUACAGAGACUUAAUGACGGUACCUGAAGAAUAAGCACCGGCUAACUACGUGCCAGCAGCCGCCGUAACAC
rnacentral:rRNA from 1 species